UGUUCUGUGGCUUGGUUGGUUAAAGCGCCGGUCUAGUGAAUACGGAGUCGUAGGUGCGAAUCCCACCGGAACGC
rfam:Aedes albopictus isolate Foshan contig105928, whole genome shotgun sequence.